AGUCGAGCGGAUGAAGGGAGCUUGCUCCUGGAUUCAGCGGCGGACGGGUGAGUAAUGCCUAGGAAUCUGCCUGGUAGUGGGGGAUAACGUCCGGAAACGGGCGCUAAUACCGCAUACGUCCUGAGGGAGAAAGUGGGGGAUCUUCGGACCUCACGCUAUCAGAUGAGCCUAGGUCGGAUUAGCUAGUUGGUGGGGUAAAGGCCUACCAAGGCGACGAUCCGUAACUGGUCUGAGAGGAUGAUCAGUCACACUGGAACUGACCCACGAUCCACACUUCUACGGGAGGCAGCAGUGGGGAAUAUUGGACAAUGGGCGAAAGCCUGAUCCAGCCAUGCCGCGUGUGUGAAGAAGGUCUUCGGAUUGUAAAGCACUUUAAGUUGGGAGGAAGGGCAGUAAGUUAAUACCUUGCUGUUUUGACGUUACCAACAGAAUAAGCACCGGCUAACUUCGUGCCAGCAGCCGCGGUAAUACGAAGGGUGCAAGCGUUAAUCGGAAUUACUGGGCGUAAAGCGCGCGUAGGUGGUUCAGCAAGUUGGAUGUGAAAUCCCCGGGCUCAACCUGGGAACUGCAUCCAAAACUACUGAGCUAGAGUACGGUAGAGGGUGGUGGAAUUUCCUGUGUAGCGGUGAAAUGCGUAGAUAUAGGAAGGAACACCAGUGGCGAAGGCGACCACCUGGACUGAUACUGACACUGAGGUGCGAAAGCGUGGGGAGCAAACAGGAUUAGAUACCCUGGUAGUCCACGCCGUAAACGAUGUCGACUAGCCGUUGGGAUCCUUGAGAUCUUAGUGGCGCAGCUAACGCGAUAAGUAGACCGCCUGGGGAGUACGGCCGCAAGGUUAAAACUCAAAUGAAUUGACGGGGGCCCGCACAAGCGGUGGAGCAUGUGGUUUAAUUAGAAGCAACGCGAAGAACCUUACCUGGCCUUGACAUGCUGAGAACUUUCCAGAGAUGGAUUGGUGCCUUCGGGAACUCAGACACAGGUGCUGCAUGGCCGUCGUCAGCUCGUGUCGUGAGAUGUUGGGUUAAGUCCCGUAACGAGCGCAACCCUUGUCCUUAGUUACCAGCACCUCGGGUGGGCACUCUAAGGAGACUGCCGGUGACAAACCGGAGGAAGGUGGGGAUGACGUCAAGUCAUCAUGGCCCUUACGGCCAGGGCUACACACGUGCUACAAUGGUCGGUACAAAGGGUUGCCAAGCCGCGAGGUGGAGCUAAUCCCAUAAAACCGAUCGUAGUCCGGAUCGCAGUCUGCAACUCGACUGCGUGAAGUCGGAAUCGCUAGUAAUCGUGAAUCAGAAUGUCACGGUGAAUACGUUCCCGGGCCUUGUACACACCGCCCGUCACACCAUGGGAGUGGGUUGCUCCAGAAGUAGCUAGUCUAACCGCAAGGGGGACGGUACCACGAGAUC
rnacentral:rRNA from 1 species